GGGGGGUGCAAGCGUUAUUCGGAAUCAUUGGGCGUAAAGGGCGCGUAGGCGGCCCCUUAAGUCAGAUGUGAAAGCCCUCAGCUUAACUGAGGAAGUGCAUUUGAAACUAAGGGGCUUGAGUAUGGGAGAGGGAAGCGGAAUUCCUGGUGUAGCGGUGAAAUGCGUAGAUAUCAGGAGGAACACCGGUGGCGAAGGCGGCUUCCUGGACCAAUACUGACGCUGAGGCGCGAAGGCGUGGGGAGCAAACAGGAUUAGAUACCCUGGUAGUCCACGCAGUAAACUGUGAACACUAGGUGUAGCGGGUAUUGACCCCUGCUGUGCCGAAGCUAACGCAUUAAGUGUUCCGCCUGGGAAGUACGGUCGCAAGGCUA
rnacentral:rRNA from 1 species